AGAUUGAACGCUGGCGGCAGGCCUAACACAUGCAAGUCGAGCGGCAGCACGGGUACUUGUACCUGGUGGCGAGCGGCGGACGGGUGAGUAAUGCCUAGGAAUCUGCCUGGUAGUGGGGGAUAACGCUCGGAAACGGACGCUAAUACCGCAUACGUCCUACGGGAGAAAGCAGGGGACCUUCGGGCCUUGCGCUAUCAGAUGAGCCUAGGUCGGAUUAGCUAGUUGGUGAGGUAAUGGCUCACCAAGGCGACGAUCCGUAACCGGUCUGAGAGGAUGAUCAGUCACACUGGAACUGAGACACGGUCCAGACUCCUACGGGAGCAGCAGUGGGGAAUAGUUGGACAAGUGGGCGAAAGCCUGAUCCAGCCAUGCCGCGUGUGUGAAGAAGGUCUUCGGAUUGAAAGCACUUUAAGUGGAGAAGGCUAAUUAACCUAAUACGUUAGUGUUUUGACGUUACGACAGUAACUAAGCACGGUCUAACUC
rnacentral:rRNA from 1 species